GUAGGUGGCAAGCGUUGUCCGGAAUUAUUGGGCGUAAAGCGCGCGCAGGCGGUUCUUUAAGUCUGAUGUGAAAGCCCACGGGCUCAACCGUGGAGGGUCAUUGGAAACUGGAGAACUUGAGUACAGAAGAGGAAAGCGGAAUUCCACGUGUAGCGGUGAAAUGCGUAGAGAUGUGGAGGAACACCAGUGGCGAAGGCGGCUUUCUGGUCUGUAACUGACGCUGAGGCGCGAAAGCGUGGGGAGCAAACAGGAUUAGAUACCCUGGUAGUCCACGCCGUAAACGAUGAGUGCUAAGUGUUAGGGGGUUUCCGCCCCCUUAGUGCUGCAGCUAACGCAUUAAGCACUCCGCCUGGGGAGUACGGCCGCAAGGCUG
rnacentral:rRNA from 1 species